ACAGUGUCUGGUGGGUAGUUUGACUGGGGCGGUCUCCUCCUAAAGAGUAACGGAGGAGCACGAAGGUUGGCUAAUCCUGGUCGGACAUCAGGAGGUUAGUGCAAUGGCAUAAGCCAGCUUGACUGCGAGCGUGACGGCGCGAGCAGGUGCGAAAGCAGGUCAUAGUGAUCCGGUGGUUCUGAAUGGAAGGGCCAUCGCUCAACGGAUAAAAGGUACUCCGGGGAUAACAGGCUGAUACCGCCCAAGAGUUCAUAUCGACGGCGGUGUUUGGCACCUCGAUGUCGGCUCAUCACAUCCUGGGGCUGAAGUAGGUCCCAAGGGUAUGGCUGUUCGCCAUUUAAAGUGGUACGCGAGCUGGGUUUAGAACGUCGUGAGACAGUUCGGUCCCUAUCUGCCGUGGGCGCUGGAGAACUGAGGGGGGCUGCUCCUAGUACGAGAGGACCGGAGUGGACGCAUCACUG
rnacentral:rRNA from 1 species